GGAGGGUAUAGCUCAGUGGUAGAGUGCAUGCUUAGCAUGCAUGAGGUCCUGGGUUCAUUCCCCAGUACCUCCA
rnacentral:tRNA from 1 species